GAAUACUCGGGGAAGAGCAGCUGGCUCCGACGUUCGCACGACGUCCACACGACGUUCGCUACUGCGGCGCUUCGCUAUUAUUGUACGGACGGCAAGCGGACUUCUGGGCGAGAGAUGAAUAAUAAACCUGCGUGACCUCCCCCCCCCCGCCCCCAUCAUCAAAGAAAUACGGAGAGAUUAAGAAGGGCACAUGCUGUAAAUUUCCAGAGAGACAGAGAGAGGAGCGAUUCAGUCGUGGAGCUCUUCCUCCCUGCGAAGAGCGAACGCUUCAUCACCAGCCCCCGCCACCGCUGCCGGGCGAGAUAUCCCACUGGCCAAGAUGAGCCGCAAUCAACCGCAUUAUACAGCGAUGCAUAAA